rnacentral:rRNA from 1 species
UGGGGAAUCUUCCGCAAUGGACGAAAGUCUGACGGAGCAACGCCGCGUGAGUGAAGACGGCCUUCGGGUUGUAAAGCUCUGUGAUCCGGGACGAAAGAGCCUGAGGUGAAUAGCCUAAGGAAGUGACGGUACCGGAAAAGCAAGCCACGGCUAACUACGUGCCAGCAGCCGCGGUAAUACGUAGGUGGCAAGCGUUGUCCGGAAUUAUUGGGCGUAAAGCGCGCGCAGGCGGCUUCCUAAGUCCAUCUUAAAAGUGCGGGGCUUAACCCCGUGAUGGGAUGGAAACUGGGAAGCUGGGGUAUCGGAGAGGAAAGUGGAAUUCCUAGUGUAGCGGUGAAAUGCGUAGAGAUUAGGAAGAACACCGGUGGCGAAGGCGACUUUCUGGACGAAAACUGACGCUGAGGCGCGAAAGCGUGGGGAGCAAACAGG